GAGAAACCAGAGCAGAGAGGCAGGAAGGAGGAAUUUACUGAUGAGACAGAGCUGAUCAGAGAGAGGAUCUAAUACCAGCAGCUCAGGAUGGAGGGAACAUCUCUGCUGUGGAUCUCUCUGAGCUCUCUGCUGUUCUCCACAACAGACCAAGGUAGGUCACCUUCCUCUGUAACCGUCUGAAACUCACCAACAGCAUGUUGGUCUGGAGAUGUUGGACAUUUAAAGUGUUGAAAUUUCUAUCAGAGCAUGAGCAGAACAAGUUCCCAGUGGAGUCAUCUGUUUCCUCCUGACAAAUCUAAAGCUGUGAAGCAGAUCUGUUGUUGUAGUUCCUCAAACGUCCACUUGAGGCUCCAACGGUCCCCACAGAGCUCCAUCAGAACAAGACAGAGAAGGUUCAUAGAUCUCAAAGGUUCAGUAAGAUUGUGACUUAAAGUUGUAACAUUCAGAGGAUGUUUGGGGGAUUUAGUCACAGACUGGGUUCCAUAAAACUCCUUUUCCAGAUGUGAUCAAGUUCUUAGAUUACAGGAGCUUCUUUAGAAAUCAUUUCUGUGACAUGAUAUAUUAGCAAAGGUGGAACGUUUUUGCCUGCACAGUGUCGUGUCAGCGCGAUAGAACAGAUCUUCUUAUUUGAGACGACACCAAUCAGCUAUAACAUCAUGACCACCUGCCCAGUAUUGUGUUGAUCCCCUUUUUGCUUCGAGGCCUGGACUCCACUGGACCCUGAAGGUGUUCUGUGGUAUCUGGACUCCACUAGACCCUGAAGGUGUUCUGUGGUAUCUGGACUCCACUAGACCCUGAAGGUGUUCUGUGGUAUCUGGACUCCACUAGACCCUGAAGUUGUUCUGUGGUAUCUGGACUCCACUAGACCCUGAAGGUGUUCUGUGGUAUCUGAACUCCUCUAGACCCUGAAGGUGUGCUGUGGUAUCUGGACUCCUCUAGACCCUGAAGGUGUUCUGUGGUAUCUGGACUCCACUAGACCCUGAAGGUGUUCUGUGGUAUCUGGACUCCUCUAGACCCUGAAGGUGUUCUGUGGUAUCUGGACUCCACUAGACCCUGAAGGUGUUCUGUGGUAUCUGCACUCCACUAGACCCUGAAGGUGUUCUGUGGUAUCUGGACUCCUCUAGACCCUGAAGGUGUUCUGUGGUAU